UACGAAGGGGGCUAGCGUUGCUCGGAAUCACUGGGCGUAAAGCGCACGUAGGCGGAUUGGUAAGUCAGGGGUGAAAGCCUGGAGCUCAACUCCAGAACUGCCCUUGAUACUGGCAAUCUCGAGUCCGGAAGAGGUAAGUGGAACUCCGAGUGUAGAGGUGAAAUUCGUAGAUAUUCGGAAGAACACCAGUGGCGAAGGCGGCUUACGGGUCCGGUACUGACGCUGAGGUGCGAAAGCGUGGGGAGCAAACAGG
rnacentral:rRNA from 1 species